rnacentral:tRNA from 1 species
UGGGAUGUAGCUCAGUGGUAGAGUGCUUGCUUAGAAUGCACUAAUGUCCUGGGUUCAAUCCCUAGCAUUGUGG